rnacentral:rRNA from 1 species
ACGAACGCUGGCGGCAUGCCUAACACAUGCCAGUCGAACGAGACCUUCGGGUCUAGUGGCGCACGGGUGCGUAACGCGUGGGAACCUGCCCUUAGGUUCGGAAUAACUCCCCGAAAGGGGUGCCAAUACCGGAUAAUGUCUUCGGACCAAAGAUUUAUCGCCUUUGGAUGGGCCCGCGUUGGAUUAGCUAGUUGGUAGGGUAAAAGCCUACCAAGGCGACGAUCCAUAGCUGGUCUGAGAGGAUGAUCAGCCACACUGGGACUGAGACACGGCCCAGACUCCUACGGGAGGCAGCAGUGGGGAAUAUUGGACAAUGGGCGAAAGCCUGAUCCAGCAAUGCCGCGUGAGUGAUGAAGGCCUUAGGGUUGUAAAGCUCUUUUACCCGGGAUGAUAAUGACAGUACCGGGAGAAUAAGCUCCGGCUAACUCCGUG